GACGAAGGAUGCAAGCGUUAUCCGGAUUCAUUGGGUUUAAAGGGAGCGUAGGUGGCCUUAUAAGUCAGCGGUGAAAUCUCUGGGCUUAACCCAGAAAUUGCCAUUGAUACUGUAGGGCUUGAGUACAGUUGCUGUGGGCGGAAUAUGACAUGUAGUGGUGAAAUACUUAGAUAUGUCAUAGAACACCGAUUGCGAAGGCAGCUAACGAAACUAUAACUGACGCUGAGGCACGAAAGUGCGGGGAUCAAACAGG
rnacentral:rRNA from 1 species